AAACGGUUUUAAAGUUCAUAUGGAACCAAAAAAGAGCAUGAAUUGCCAAGGCAAUCCUAAGCAAAAAGCUGGAGGCAUCAUACUACUGGACUUCAAACUAUACUACAGGGCUACAGAAACCAAAAUACCAUGAAGUGGUACAAAAACAGACACAUAGAUCAAUGGAAUAAAAUAGAGAACCCAGAAAUAAAGCUGCACGCCUAUGACAUCUGAUCUCUGACAAAGCUGACAAAGCAAACAUUGGGAAAAGGACUCCCUAUUCAGUAAAUGGUGCUGGGAUAACUGGCUAGCUAUAUGCAGAAGAUUGAAACUGGACCCCUUUCUUACAUCGCAUACAAACAUCGACUCAAGAUGGAUUAAAGACUUAAAAGUAAAACUGAAAACUAAGUUAUAAACACCCUGGAAAACAAUCUAGGCAAAUAGCAUCUGGACAUGGGAACUGGCAAAGAUUUGAUGAAGAAAAUGCCAAAAGCAAUUGCAACAAUAGCAAAGAUUGACAAGUUGUAUCUAAUUAAACUUAAGAGCUUCUGCACAGUGAAAGAAACUAUCAACAGAGUGAAGAGACGAGACAACCUACAGAAUAGGAGAAAAUAUUUGCAAACUAUGCAUCUGAAAAAGGUCUAAUAUCCAGCAUCUCUAAGGAACUUAAACAAAUUUACAAGAAAAAACCAACCACAUUACAAAGUGGGCAAAUGACAUAAACUGACACUUUUCAAAAGAAGGCAUACAUGGGGCCAACAAGCAUAUGAAGAAAAGCUUGAUAUCACUGAUCACUGGAGAAAUGCAAAUCAAAACCCCAAUGAGAUACCAUCUCACACCAGUCAGGAUGGCUAUUAUUAAAAAGCCAAAAAAUAACAGAUGCCGGCAAGGUUGUGGAGAAAAAGGAACACUUAAUAUACUGCUGGUGGGAGUGUAAAUAAGUUCAACCAUUGUGGAAAGCAGUGAGGCACUUCCUCAAAGAACUAAAAGCAGAACUACCAUUUGACCCAGCAAUCCCAUUAUUUGGCAUAUACCCAGAGGAAUAUAAAUUGUUGCAUCAUAAAGGCACAUGCAUGCAUAUGUUCACUGCAGUGCUAUUCACAAGAGCAAAGACAUGGAAUCUACCUAAGUGCCCAUCAUUUGUGAACUAGAUAAAAAAAAAUAUGGUACACAUACACCAUGGAAUACUAUGCAGCCAUAAAAAAGAACAAGAUUGGCCGAUUGCAGUGGCUCACACCUGUAAUCCCAGCACAUUGGGAGGCCAAGGCAGGCGGAUCACGAGGUCAAGAGAUCAAGACCAUCCUGGCCAACGUGGUGAAACCCUGUCUCUACUAAAAAUACAAAAAUUAGCUGGGCGUGGUGGUGUUUGCCUGUAGUCCCAGCUAUUCAGGAGGCUGAGACAGGAGAAUUGCUUGAACUCGGGAGGUGGAGGUUGCAGUGAGUCGAGAUCACGCCACUGCAUUCCAGCCUGGCAACAGAGCAAGACUAAAAAAAAAAAAGACAGGAACAUGGAUAGAGCUGGAGGCCACUAUACUUAGCAAAGUAAUACAGGAACAGAAAACCAAAUACAUGUUCUCAGUUAUAGGUGGGAGCUAAAUGAUGAGGAUGCAUGGACAUAUGGACAUAAAGAAGAGAACAGCAAAUACUGGGGCUACUUGAGGUUGGAGGGUGGGAGGAGGGAGAGAAGCAAAAAAACAAUAAUAACUUUUGGGUAUUAGACUUAGUACCUGGGUGACAAAAUAAUCUGUGCAACAAAUUCCCAUGACAGGAGUUUACUUAUGUAACAAAUCUGCACAUGUACCCCGAUCCUAAAAUAAAUUUUUUUUAAACUGUCUUUAUCGCAUUCUCCCUGAAAGGUAUUUUAAUGAAUAUAGAAUUAUAAUGUGAUAGUGGUUUUCUCUCAGCACAUUCCAACUAGUAUUCUAUUAUCUUCUCACUUCCAUUAAUUUUGUUGGGAUGAAAGCUAUCAGACCAACUGUACCUCUUUUAAAAUUAAUCUUUGCU
rnacentral:lncRNA from 1 species